UCUAGUAUAGCAAUCUAUACGGUGAAACUGCGAAUGGCUCAUUAAAUCAGUUAUCGUUUAUUUGAUAGUACCUUACUACUUGGAUAACCGUGGUAAUUCUAGAGCUAAUACAUGCUAAAAACCCCGACUUACGAAGGGGUGUAUUUAUUAGAUAAAAAACCAAUGCCCUUCGGGGCUCCUUGGUGAUUCAUAAUAACUUAACGAAUCGCAUGGCCUUGUGCCGGCGAUGGUUCAUUCAAAUUUCUGCCCUAUCAACUUUCGAUGGUAGAGUAGUGGUCUACCAUGGUUUCAACGGGUAACGGGGAAUUAGGGUUCUAUUCCGGAGAGGGAGCCUGAGAAACGGCUACCACAUCCAAGGAAGGCAGCAGGCGCGCAAAUUACCCAAUCCCGACACGGGGAGGUAGUGACAAUAAAUACUGAUACAGGGCUCUUUUGGGUCUUGUAAUUGGAAUGAGUACAAUUUAAAUCCCUUAACGAGGAACAAUUGGAGGGCAAGUCUGGUGCCAGCAGCCGCGGUAAUUCCAGCUCCAAUAGCGUAUAUUAAAGUUGUUGCAGUUAAAAAGCUCGUAGUUGAACCUUGGGCCUGGCUGGCCGGUCCGCCUCACCGCGUGCACUGGUCCGGCCGGGUCUUUCCUCCUGGGGAGCUGCAUGCCCUUCACUGGGUGUGUCAGGGAACCAGGACUUUUACUUUGAAAAAAUUAGAGUGUUCAAAGCAGGCCUAUGCUCGAAUACAUUAGCAUGGAAUAAUAGAAUAGGACGUGUGGUUCUAUUUUGUUGGUUUCUAGGACCGCCGUAAUGAUUAAUAGGGAUAGUCGGGGGCAUCAGUAUUCAAUUGUCAGAGGUGAAAUUCUUGGAUUUAUUGAAGACUAACUACUGCGAAAGCAUUUGCCAAGGAUGUUUUCAUUAAUCAGUGAACGAAAGUUAGGGAUCGAAGACGAUCAGAUACCGUCGUAGUCUUAACCAUAACUAUGCCGACUAGGGAUCGGGCGA
rnacentral:rRNA from 1 species